UUCACCGUGUUAGCCAGGAUGGUCUCAAUCUCCUGACCUCGUGAUCCACCCGCCUCGGCCUCCCAAAGUGCUGAGAUUACAGGCGUGAGCCACCACGCCCGGCUAUGUUUAAGUCUUUGAUCCAUUUGAGUUUUUAAAAUAUAGUGUAGAGUAGAAGUCUAAUUUUAUUCCUUUGCAUGUGGGUGUUCCAGAAGUAUUUGUUGAAAAGACAAUGUUAACAUUAAUAUCUCUUAGGACCCCUGUCAAAAAUCAAUUGACCAGAAAUGUAAGGGUUUCUUGUUGGACUUUAAUUUUAUUCCACUGAUCUAUAUGUAUAUCUGUAGUCCAGAACUUCAUAGUCUUGAUUACAGUACCUUUGGAGUAAGAUUUGAAAUUGGGAAGUGUGUGUCCUUCAAGUUUGUUCUUCAUUCUUAAGAUCUUUUGGGGUAUUCAAGUUUCAUUAAUAUUGAAUACCAAGGGCCAUGUGCGGUGGCUCACGCUUGUAAUCCCAGCACUUUGGGAGGCCAAGGCGGGCGGAUCACGAGGUCAGGAGAUCGAGACCACGGUGGAACCCCGUCUCUACUAAAAAUACAAAAAAAUUAGCCGGGCGUGGUGGCAGGCGCCCGUAGGCCCAGCUACUCGUAGAGGCUGAGGCAGGAGAAUGGCAUGAACCUGGGAGGCGGAACUUGCAGUGAGCAGAGAUUGCGCCACUGCACUCCAGCCUGGGCGACAGAGUGAGACUCCAUCUCAAAAAAAAAAAAAAAAUAUUGAAUACCAAGGACUUGGAUAUUCAAGUCCAUAGGGACUUUGGAAUCAGCUUAUCAGUCUCUGCAAAAUCCCAGCUGGAAUUUGGUGAAAUGUGAUGGAGGAUAAUUUCUAACAUCCCAAGUGGACUAAAGUAUUAUGUGGGCUCAGAAAUGGUAACUGAAAAUGGAAUUUGGGGUUAAUGAGUUUUUAGAAAAUGUUCGUUCAUAUUUAUAAAGAGGCUCACAAGCAGAGGCAGCCUCUUUUUUGGUACUUGAUACUAUUUCGCCUGAAAGUGCUAAAUGGAACUCUUAUUUCAAAGGACAGCAUCCUAAAUGAGCUAUAUUCCUGAUGCAAGAGGCUCAUGUUCUGGACACUUUUGAGGCAGAAAUCUGCUGCCAGCUAACUGCAGGAAUCCUAGAAAUUCUGAAGAAGCCUAAGCCAUACCAUUUGGAUUUUCCAACAGAUUCAAUAUAACUGUCUAUGAAUAUUCCACUUCCUAAAAUAUCCAUUUCUCUCUCCACUGCUAGUGCCACUUGCCACAGCAUAUCUGUGAAUAAUGUAUUCGAUGAUUUACACCCUAAUAUUAUAAUUUAUAUUAGCAUAAAACACCUAAUAAAUGAGUUCAAAAUCUUGGUUGUGUUUCCAAUAUGGAAAACACAGAAAAGGCAUAAAUUCUCAUAAACUCGAAUAGAUUCCUGCACUAAUGGUCAUAGCAUCCUGUAUUGCCCAUAUCAGAAAGCACUCAUCACAGUUUGUUAUAGUAUCUUGUGAGCCCCAUGAUUUCUGGGUCUAUGUCUGUUUCACUCAGUCCAGUUUCCAUAGAGCCUCUGAUAUAUUGGUGUAAAGAGAGACACCAUCACAGUUGUACAACUCAGCUGUUAGGAUGAAGGUAAUAGCAGUAAUAGCAGAUGGAAAAACUUUGUCAACAUCAAUUUUCUUUUCAUCUACCACAAGUAAAGCUGAAUGAAAAAGCACAACUUUUUUUUUUUUACUUGGAAUGUCACUGGAUUGAAUGUGGAGAAGGCUCUGUUUUAAUGUCCCAAAUAUAACCAAGAUUUCAUUCAGGCUCAGAAAAUAAAAUAUUAUCUGUAAAUGGAAUUUGGGAACAGAGCAUUUCUGGGAAGGGUUCUCUUGUUGCAAAAGACACACAUAUAGGAAGGGACAACCCCUGUUUUCCUGCUCAAGGAAACAGACCCAGAUAGGAUUAUUAAUUACAUGAGAUUCAAAGCUCUCAUGGCACUCUGUACUUCCUCUACCACAACCCUAGUCUUCCUGUGUUGUAAACAAGCAGUUCUUUGUCUGAAUCACCCAUUAGUCCCAGACCUGCCAAAGGUCAAGGAGUAUGUUUCCUUCACCAUUGUAUCCCCAGCUCUGAGUACAGUGCCUGGUACAUGGCAUGCAUAAAAUGAACAGAUUAUGUCUAGAAAGACAAUGGAUAAUGAGGUGGUGUGGGCUGUGGUGGGAAAUGUGGAAAGAAAAUAUGCCGGAAUAAAGAAAUUGAAACAUAAAUUAGGAAGUGGAAGAAAGAGGUAUUAGUCUUCGAUGAUUCCUAAGGUAUUAGCUUUUGUCAUUGGGUACGAUAACAAGCCUGGGGGCAAAGGGGAUAAAAUGGCAGAUAUUUCCUGAUCAAAGAAGAAAAGUACAGUGGACUAGAAACCAGACACUUGUGUUCUUUUUCACCUUGCACUCUGUUCUGCCUAAUAUCCUUGCUAUCAGAACUGUCUGAAACAUACUUUUCCGCUAAUGAAAUGAAGAUAAUAUGCUGAGUUAGAUGUGUAUAUGUGAAAUGGCUUUCUAAACACUAGUGUUGUGUCCAGUCAUGACAAUGGCUACAUUUGAAUUUUGGCUCUAAAAACAACACCAUCAUAAUAAUACUAAUUGAGUCCUUUUGAUAUUUUAGUACUAUGCUUGGUGCUUUAAUGCUUUAUCUCAAUUUUCUCAAGAAUGUAUGAGUUACGAUUUUUAGAAUAUAGAAUGUCACAUAGCAAUAGGUGCACGUGUGAUUCAAACAAAAGUCCUAAAAUUUCAAAGCCUUUUCCUUCAAAAUAAGUGCUUCCAAAAAAUGUGGCAGGCAGAUAACUUUGGUAAUUGAAAUGACUUUAUUGCAACAUAGAUAAAUUCUUCACUCACAAAAUGACAGCAAAUCCACUUAUCUUUAAUUAUUGAAUUAAUUAAACUUUUGUUUUGACACUUAGAGAAAAAUAAAUCCAAAAUGAUGUGUGGAGAGUUAUUGAAGAAUAUCAUUAUGGAAUGAAUCCCAUUACAUAACAUCAGUUUUAUUUAUUUCAAUGGCAUAUGUCAAAAAUACAAAGAAUUAGACAGAAUAAUACAAGAAAAUCCCUCGUACCAACCACCAAGUUAUAACAUACAUCAUCGACUCCUGGUGGCUCUUGUUCCAACUAUUAGACUUCUAGAUCCUAACUUUCUUCCCUACUGGAUAAUUUCAACCCAAUAAAAGAGUGUCAUAUCAUUUCAUAUAAAUACAAUUUUAUUAAAAAUGGACCUACUCCCCCCAAAAAGAAA